GGAUCAGCCAUUACUUCAAGCUCCUGUUACAAUAUUCAUCAAAUAGAUACAUGAAUAAAUAAAAGUAAAUAAACAAUGCUUAAUCCUAACCAAAUUAUUCAAUUUUUUUAAUUCUAUAAAUAAAGUUUCAUUUUUUUCCUUUUUUAAUUCUUCUCACUUAAAAAUCUUUCAACAGUUAAAAUCUCUAUAUAAACAGUUCUCAAAUUGC
rnacentral:misc_RNA from 1 species